GAGCGCGAUACAUCCAUGCUGACACAGAAAGGCGGUAAUAACUUGGUUUUGAAAACCCAGAGCACAAUACAUCCAUGCAGACACAGAAAGGAAGUAAUGACUUGGUUGUGAACACCCAGAGCACGAUACAUCCAUGCUGACACAGAAAAUAAGUAAUGACUUGGUUGUGAACACCCAGAGCAAGAUAUAUCCAUGCUGUUACAGAAAGGCAGUAAUGACUAUGCUGUGAACACCCAGAGCACAAUACAUCCAUGCUGACACAGAAAGGCAGUAAUGACUUGGUUGGGAACACCCAGAGCACAAUACAUCCAUGCUGACACAGAAAGGCAGUAAUGACUUGGCUGUGAACACAGAACACGAUACACCCAUGCUGACACAGAAAGGCAGUAAUGACUUGGCUGUGAACACAGAGCACAAUACAUCCAUGCUGAAACAGAAAGGCAGUCAUGACUAUGCUGUGAACACCCAGAGCACGAUAUAUCCAUGCUGACACAGAAAGGCAGUAAUGACUAUGCUGUGAACACCCAGAGCAAGAUAUAUCCAUGCUGACACAGAAAGGCAGAAAUGACUAUGCAGUGAACACCCAGAUAAAGAAUUAUCCAUGCUGACACAGAAAGGCAGUAAUGACUAUGCAGUGAACACCCAGAGCAAGAUAUAUCCAUGCUGACACAGAAAGGCAGUAAUGACUAUUCUGUGAACACCCAAAACACAAUACAUCCAUGCUGACACAGAAAGGAAGUAAUGACUUGGUUGUGAACACCAGGAGCAAGAUAUAUCCAUGCUGACACAGAAAGGCAGUAAUGACUUGGCUGUAAACACAGAACACAAUACACCCAUGCUGACACAGAAAGGCAGUAAUGACUUGGCUGUGAACACAGAACACAUUACACCCAUGCUGACACAGAAAGGCAGUAAUGACUUGGCUGUGAACACAGAGCUUAAUACAUCCAUGCUGACACAGAAAGGCAGUAAUGACUUGGCUGUAAACACAGAGCACAAUACAUCCAUGCUGACACAGAAAGGUAGUUAUGACUUGGCUGUAAACACAGAGCACAAUACAUUCAUGCUGACACAGAAAGGCAGUAAUGACUUGGCUGUAAACACAGAGCACAAUACAUCCAUGCUGACACAGAAAGGCAGUUAUGACUUGGUUGUGAACACAGAGCACAAUACAUCCUUGUUGACACAGAAGGGCAGUAGUGACUUUGCUGUGAACUCAGAGCACGAUACAUCCAUGCUGACACAGAAAGGCAGUAAAGACUUGGUUGUAAACACCCAGAGCACAAUACAUCCAUGCUGACACAGACAGGCAGUAAAGACUUUGUUGUAAACACUAAGAGAUCCAUACAUCCAUGGGGUGUGCCACAGCCGCAAAUUACGCCCACUAUUGUGAACAAGGUUCUUAAAGUGAACACGUCUGGUUUUGUUAUGAGCACAUAGCACUCCAAGCCCAAAAGGCCUCGCAUUAAAUUGAUGCAAGAGAAGGCUUUGGAAAAUAACAGCAGUUUUGUUGUGUGGUCCAGUACGCCCUUCGACUCGCAACCUGAAGAAAGCAGAAGUCAAACUCGUCUCUUAGCAAUAUCAGCAAGGCUAGCAUGUCAUCUCAGCUUCUGGAACUUCAGUGAACUUUACUUGCAAACAUGACUAAUGUCAUUGAAGUGAAAGUCGAUGACAACCCCCUUCUUGCACAAAUACUACAAUUGCUUAAGAAAUUCAGCACGGAGACGUCUUGCGUCAGACUACCAAGCCUCCUAUCAAUAUCUUCUCCCAUGUUGGCUACAUCAACACUUCCAACAGCAGAGCCUUGGUGAGUUCGACUUCCGUCUCGGCAUCGAUGUCGCUUAGCAACAAUUGGAUGAUUGCGUCGACAAAUUAGGCCGGACAAGUUGCUCGAACUGAAACAAUCUGAUUCAACAGGUAGAGCAGGCGUUGCCUGACACGUCCGUUAAUGUGACUGACCACGAUAUGUUGUUCUCGAAAAAUGUGAACCUUAGGCCUGGAGAGCAGUAUGCGAUUGACGCCAUUCAACAACAGUUGUUGUCGGCAAUUCUUGGGUUUGGGGUGGCGACUUCGGCGUCGGGACUCACUCCAUCUCUGUCUAUGGCCCAGUCGCAGCAGCAGCAGUAACAAGAACAAUAACCUGUUCCUACAGGAACCCAUGCAAUCAUAGAUCGGUACCUAGCUGAACAACAGGCUGCCUGGUCAGCUGGGCCCAGACGCCCAGUGACACUUCCUGGCCCAGGACCUUGGGGAAAAUGCUCAACUAGUCCUACCUGCAGGGUGGAGCCACUCUGAACCUGGGGCUCCAUACUUUCUUGGCCAGCGGCCAAGAUUACCUUGUCAAUAAGAAACCCGGAUAGCAAGGCGUUGAGUUUGUUCUUGAAGCAUUUGCACCAGAAGCAGUCAUCAUCUUGAUAUUCUGGAAUCUCCAUGGUGAAGGACGACCUCAGUCUGUGAACAAAAUGCAGAGCUAACCUCAGAUGCCUUUUGACGAAAUCAAACCAUCCGAUCAUAAACACAGACUGUUGCAGCAGUUGUUACCAUAUUGACCGCAGUCAAACCUAAGAAGCUCAGAGAUAAAUACUGAUUUAGUUCUGCUAGUCUCUGCAUACGGCCUGGUUUGGUCAGCACUUACUCUGACUCUUUGAAUAUUAUGACGGAUGGAAAUGAAUGACCUUGUUCAGAUCGAAAUGGCAGAAUGACACAUCACAACAAUUCAAGUGGAAAGCCAGAAAGUCAUGUCAACAGCCACAUUUUGUAUGUCACCAGCCAAGUUGUAUUCAAAGACAAACAAUAGUUUAUGCUCUAUUGUGUAUGUGACCAGCCAAGUUGUAUUCAACGAAAAACAAUAGUUUACGUUUUAUUUUUUAUGUGACCUACCAAGUUGUUUGUAUAGGUCCCUGGUUUAGCAAAGCAUUUAAAGUAUUUUUAAAAGCACACAUAUUGCAUGUCAAUUCAAUGUCUUUGCCUGUAUUAUGAAACUUUCACUACAGAUGUUGAUCCUCAUGAUGGUAAAUAAAUGGGAAAUACAAUGUUAUCAAAGAUUUGUUAAGAUUGCCAAAGCUGUUUAAAUGAUGCUGGUAACUUGAACAAGAUUGAAAAAAACAUCGGAGUGUUUUCAUGUUAUAAGACAUGUUUCAGUUGUCUGUUUUUAACCCGUUAAUAUAGAUUAGCUAAUGAAAAGUAUUUGUUCAGAAAGGUGUAAAAUGUUUACGCUUCAGAUUUUUGUCAAUCAACCUUAUGAAAACAAUACUAGUCAAUUGGCUCAUUCGGGUCGGUAUUCUAUCAUGAAUCUUUUUUAGUAGCAUACUAUGUAUUUCAUGGGAAUAUAAAUAAAUUCUGGGCAAAAUUAUUUAAUCUACCUGAAAUAAUCGAUUCUGUAUUUACUACUAGUACUUUGUUGAUUUCAAUGGAUAGUGUUUGUUAAAUGAUUAGAGUAUGACUCUUGUUGAAAAGCUUUAAAUGAAACUGUGAAUUAAAAAAUAAAUAUUAAAUUUGUUUUACAGUUUUAUGAAAAAUGGCAAAAUAUUGUUAAGUUGUGUUGUUUUAUCAUAUACUAACAUGGUCAUAAGUGUUAAAAUUUGUUUUCGGACAUAAUAGUUUAUUAUGCUUUAUAUUUGUAUAUGUACAUAACGAUGACAAGAUUGUAUCCUCUUUAAUCAGUGAGCAACUUAAUCAAGAUUUCUUGAUCACUGUAGCAAGUGUAUAUUUUGCCAUUUAUACAUAGAGCAACUGUAAAACAAUUGUAUUUUAAAUGUAAUGUAUCCAAGUAUUGUUGCCAUUUUUAUUAGAUAAACUCACUGUUAACAUUAAUUUGUACAAACUAUUGUUAUAAAAAACAUUUCUUGUUUCAAUGCUAAAAUAUGUAUUAAACUGUUAAAAUAAUGCACAGUAACAACUUCUGAAGAGAAAAAUAUACUUAAAGGCAAUAGAAACACAUUGUUAUAUGAAAUGCUUUUUAUUAAGAACACCUACUUAAAAUUUGUUUAAUUUUGUUUAACAUUAUCUGAAGAAAAAAUAGUACCUUGUAAUUUGAAAUCAGUCAAUGAAAAAAAAGGGAGUGUUGCCAUAUGCUAACAAUAGUCAAGAAAUGCAAAUGCCUUUAUGGGUAAUACAACAGAGCAAUACAAUUUGCUUAAACUAGAGCACCGCAUAAAGGGUGCCAUGCUCGGCUACGGGUGCAGUUUUGAAUAAAUGAAAGCUUGACAUAAUUUAUUUGAGAGGUCACAGUGACUUGACCAUUGACCUAGUGACCCCAAAAUGGGUGUGGUGUGUAGAACUCAUCAAUGUGCAUCUACAUAUGAAGUUUGAAAGUUGUAGUUGGAAGCACUUUGAUUUUAGAGCUAAUGUUAAGGUUUAAGCACGACGCGGACGGUGGACGACACAACGAACUGGCUAUGACAAUACCUCAGGUUUUCUCCGAAAAUACAUGUACCCAGCUAAAAAUAAAAACAAAGAUGUCUGUUUUGCAAAAAUUUUUAACACUUAUGAAUGUGCUUAUAUUAAACGUGAACAGUAUUGAAAUAUUGAUUACGAUAAAGUUUGACAUUUUAUUAGUUUUGUAACAGCGUGUUUGACCUUUCAAAUUGACCCUCCCACAAUCCCUUAUUCGCUUUCAGUGGGGCCAGUUUCUGUAAAUCUUCCACUACAAGUUCAGCAAAUGUUUUAGGACCAGAUUUCCUCAUAUUUGGAAAUGUUUAUAUUUAACUUUUAUUGAAUGCAUGAAACAUGUUUGUUUUGUUUUUGAAUAGCUGAAAAUAGCUUGAUGUUUGUAAAUUGUGUGACAUGUUAGAUCAAAUUGAUAUAUUGAAAAAAACAAAUUUUGCAUUAACUUGUAUUGGUAGCUAAACAACACAUGUUUCCAAAUACAAAUUUAAGUAUUUGGUAUAAAUAUAAUUGUGCUAUAUUUGUCAUAUCGGAUGAAAUACAAUUUUAAUUAUAAUGUGUUUAGAUGUUCGUAUACUCCAAAUAAUCAUUUUAAAUAAGUUAAUAUAGGGUAAUAAUGUCUAUGGAAAGUACCCUUAGGCACGUUUCAAUUGCUUGUGUACCUCAUAUGGAUCAGGGUCUUUCUAAAUUAUUGCAUGAUUGUUAAUGCCUUUGUCUGAUUGUGUAAAUAUCUUCAAAGAUACUUGUUAAGAGGAUUUUAAUAUUAAAAGAUAAACUAGCAUCUUAACUAUAACCGGGCAUCUUUUGCAUUUAUUUUAACGUGUUUAUAUUGUUUGGCUUACCGAGUUUAAUAUUGUCUAUAUUCGUGCGUAUUUUUAUUGUGGUUGUUUUGUUAAGACAAAGCGCAUAUCACUAAUGCUGUUGUUUUUGUUUUAUGAUAUAUGUAAAUAAUUAAACAUGUUUAUUUUGGUGAUAUGUAUUUCCCAAUCUAAGUGUAAUGUUGCAUUCUCAAUAAAGUACAUUGUUAUACACGUGGAAUUAUAGUAUUGCUAAGUGACAAUUUGUUGUCUUUACAAAUAAAAACCGCAAGGAUUGUCGUAGCAAUUUUAUUGCUUUCCCCUAUUGAACUGGUGUAAAAACGUGACCGUGAGCUCAUUUUGUUUAAUGCUAACUGCCAAUAUAUAUAUAUAUAUAUAUAUAUAUAUAUAUAUAUAUAUAUAUAUAUAUAUAUAUAGAAAGAAAUUGUUCAAACAGUGUAAAAAAUGUGUAUCUUAUACCCUAGCGCUUUCGACUACACGUCUUCUUCAGGGGUGUAUACGGAUAUGAGUUAACGAUUCCCCAGUGCGAAUGCACAAUAGAGGUUAACUUAUUGGCUUUCAGUCUUGUUUUUUUAGUUAUAUGUCGUUUUAUAUUUUUAUCUAUUUAUUUAUGCAUAUUAAAAUUGUGUUAUAGACUGACGCCCGUAAUAUAAUUUAUAUCGAUGUUAUAAUGAAAAAUAUUAUAAUUUGCAGUGAAUGUUUUGCAUUCAGUAUUGUGUCAUAUUUAUGCCCCCUUUCGAAGAAGAGGUUGUAUAUUGCUUUGCACAUGUCGGUCUGUGGGUCCAUCCACCAGGUGGUUUCGGGAUGAUAACUCAAGAACGCUUGUGCCUAGGAUCAUGAAACUUCAUAGGUUCAUUGAUCAUGACUCGCAGAUGACCCCUAUUGAUUUUGAUGUCACUAGGUCAAAUGUCAAGUUCACGGUGACCCGAAAUAGUAAAAUGGUUUCCGGAUGAUAACUCAAGAACGCUUAGGCCUAGGAUCAUGAAACUUGAUAGCUAGAUUGAUCAUGACUCGCAGAUGACCCAUAUUGAUUUUCAGGUCUCUAGGUAAAAGGGCAAGGUCACAGUGACCCGAAAUAGUAAAAUGGUUUCCGGAUGAUAACUCAAGAACGCUUAGGCUUAGGAUCAUGCAACUUUAUAGGUAGAUUGAUCAUGACUCGCAAAUGACCCUUAUCGAUUUUCAGGUCACUAGGACAAAGGUCAAGGUCACAGUGACCCGAAAUAGUAAAAUGGUUUCCGGAUGAUAACUCAAGAACGCUUAUGCCUAGGAUCAUGAAACUUCAUAGUACAUUGAUCAUGACUCGCAGAUGACCCCUAUUGAUUUUAAGGUCAAAGGUCAAGGUCACGGUGACUCGAAAUAGUAAAAUGGUUUCUAGAUGAUUACUCAAGAAUGCGUAUGCCUAGGAUCAUGAAAUUUCAUAGGUACAUUGAUCAUGACUUGCAGAUGACCCCUAUUGAUUUUAAGUCACAAGGUCAAAGGUCAAGGUAACGGUGACCCGAAAUUGUAAAAUGGUUUCCGGAUCAUAACUCAAGAACGCUUAUGCCUAGGAUCAUUGAACUUGAUAGGUAGAUUGAUCAGGACUCGCAUUUGACCCCUAUUGAUUUUAAGGUCACUAUAUCAAAGGUCAAGGUCACGGUGACCGGAAAUAGUAAAAUGGUUUCCGGAUGAUUACUCAAGAAUGCUAAUUGCUAUGAUCAUAAAACUUCAGAGGUACAUUGAUCAUGACUCGCAGAUGACCCCUAUCGAUAUUGAGGUCACUUGGUCAAAGGUCAAGUUCACGGUGACCCGAAAUAGUAAAAUGGUUUCCAGAUGAUCACUGAAGAACGCUUAUUCCUAGGAUCAUGAAAGUUGAUAGGUAGAUUGACCAUGACUCGCAGAUGACCCCUAUUGAUUUUCAGGUCACUAGGUUAAAGGUCAAGGUCACGUUGACCCGAAAUAGUAAAAUGGUUUCCGGAUGAUUACUCAAGAACGCUUAUGGCUAGGAUCAUGAAACUUCAAAGGUACAUUGAUCAUGACUGGCAGAUGAGCCCUAUUGAUUUUCAGGUCGCUAGGUCAAAGGUCAAGGUCACAGUGACAAAACAUAUUCACACAAUGGCUGUCACUACAACGGAGAUCCCAUAUGGGGGUCAUGCAUGUUUUACAAACAGCCCUUGUUAAUUUUUGUUUUAUGAUUAUGUACAUACACUUAUUAUAAUUGUGUGUUAUAAAAUGGCGCUUAAAAUGUUUAUUAUAUCGAUAUAACAUUUAAAUGAUUAAAAUGGAGGUUAGAA